AUUGGACCUGCUAGAAUGUACAUAUAUAUAUAUAUAUAGAAUAGAUUUGGUUUAAUUUGUAUAUUGAUUUCAUAGCUGAUAUUUGUACACGUUUUUUUAAUAGUAUGUAUGUAGCGGGGUAGCUCCAGUGUGCAUUUCUCACAGUUUAAUAAUUAGCAAUAAACCACGUGUUAAAAAAUGGUCUAUGAAAGGACAGUUAAAAUAAGAUCCCUCCGAGAGAGCCAGCUUUAUGGGUUUUUUCUGUGUUUGCACCACCUUCUAUUGCCUUGAUGUCUUGCAUGUACUGCCUGGGAAAUCCAUGACAUGCGCAUAGUCGACUUUUUAGGCACAGAUUGCUAACCCGCCCCCCCAUUUCUCUUUACAGUAAAACGCAGACACAGAUUUCGUUGGCACUACACACCUUUUAAUAAAAGAUAAUCCAAUUAAAAAAUAAAGUCAUUGUUAAAUAUCUCAUAGCCAACACUUAAAACUGCUAUCCCCCAUUUUAUAAAGUACCAGUGACAAUUAUGGCCCCACAAGAUACAUAAUUGAAUAGCAAUCAUAUGUAUUACUGUUACUAUUGGCAUUAAUAUAGCGCCAACAGAAUACAAUAUUACUAUAUAUAUAAUGUCUACUGGACUAAUACAGCUAAUCCAAUCUACAUUCUAUAUAUAUAAAACCAUAACCUAAUUGGAUUUUGCUUCCCAAGCACUACCAAGCCUCAAUAAGCAAACCAGUAACCAACCUCAUGCUGAUGAGUUGCAAUAACAACGAAACAGCUGUCCAUGAGUGGUUCACUGGUUUUGCAUCUUUUCAUAAAUUGUGUUCCAAGCAUUUGUAUACUGCAAACACAGAUUAAAAGGAAUCCAUGUUUAAAAUGGAAUGAGGCAAAAAUGUGAUUCUUUGUUAAACUAAUUUGCAUAUGCCCACCCAGAAUCCUUUGCGGUUGUAACAUCACUGCAGAUUUGGGAUUUCUGUGGGAAAAUGGCUUGACUGGUGUGCAGAUUUUUGUUUAACAUUGUUUUAUAUAUAUAUAUAUAUAUAUAUAUAUAUAUAUAUAUAUAUAUAUAUAUAUAUGACACUUAUAAUGUUCCACACAUUGUGCACAUUUAAUUCACUUGUUCUCAUUCAUUCACAAGGUGACGGUUUGUUUCUGUGGGUCACCUAGGAAACGGAGAUAUGGCACCCGGAUGUGACGUCAGUAGGGGUGGAGCUUAACCGCGCAUGCGCAUUGGUGAUGGCUGCACGCCGACACAGGUGAUCGGUGGCACGGCACCCGGAAGUGACGUUAGUAGGGGUGGAGAUUUAAUCGCGCAUGUGCAUUGGUGAUGGCUACACGCCGGCACACAGGUGAUUGAGGUCUGGGUGAGUGAGUUUUUCCUUAAAUAUGG